CUAUUAGGUUGGUGCAAAAGUAAUUGUGGUUUUUGCCUUUUUUUUUUUUUGGCAAUACUUUCACACUAAUCUAAUGUAUGCAUGCUGGCUCCUCUUCCUCUUUCACCA
rnacentral:miRNA from 10 species